rnacentral:rRNA from 1 species
GUGGCGAAAGCGGCUNUCUGGUCUGUCACUGACGCUGAGGCACGAAAGCGUGGGUAGCGAACAGGAUUAGAUACCCUGGUAGUCCACGCCGUAAACGAUGAGUGCUAGGUGUUAGGCCCUUUCCGGGGCUUAGUGCCGGAGCUAACGCAAUAAGCACUCCGCCUGGGGAGUACGACCGCAAGGUUGAAACUCAAAGGAAUUGACGGGGGCCCGCACAAGCGGUGGAGCAUGUGGUUUAAUUCGAAGCAACGCGAAGAACCUUACCAGGUCUUGACAUCCCGAUGCUAUUCUUAGAGAUAGGAAGUUACUUCGGUACAUCGGAGACAGGUGGUGCAUGGUUGUCGUCAGCUCGUGUCGUGAGAUGUUGGGUUAAGUCCCGCAACGAGCGCAACCCUUAUUGUUAGUUGCCAUCAUUAAGUUGGGCACUCUAGCGAGACUGCCGGUAAUAAACCGGAGGAAGGUGGGGAUGACGUCAAAUCAUCAUGCCCCUUAUGACCUGGGCUACACACGUGCUACAAUGGUCGGUACAACGAGUUGCGAGCCGGUGACGGCAAGCUAAUCUCUGAAAGCCGAUCUCAGUUCGGAUUGGAGGCUGCAACUCGCCUCCAUGAGGUCGGAAUCGCUAGUAAUCGCGGAUCAGCACGCCGCGGUGAAUACGUUCCCGGGCCUUGUACACACCGCCCGUCACACCACGAGAGUUUGUAACACCCGAAGUC